rnacentral:lncRNA from 1 species
CCAAAUUUUGUGAUAUUUUAUACUUGCUAUAUCAUUUACUAAAAGUUUUUAAAACAUAUUUCUUAGAUAAAAAAAAUAUUUCUAGGCCCGGUCGUACAUGGAGGCUGCUUUCACCUGCACAUGCCACUCCAUCACAUUGCUCUCUGUUCACUCAAUAUGGAAGGUCUAUCUUCGAGUCUCGCCAGGGUUUGAAUACUCAGAGGUGACGGUCAGCUGGAAUGAACUGGACAUCAUCAAUAUUUUGCUCCAUCUGAUACACGUAAACGCAUUCCUCAAAAGCAGUGGGUUUCUUGGAGAGUGGAAAUACUCCAGAGAACUAAAAAAGAGUCUGAAUAUCAUCAUAUCCUAGCCAUUCGUAAUUGGAUUUCUCGAUGAUGUCCUCGAUCCUUGAAUCUGAGAGAGAGACUACUAUAAACACAAAAGCUUCGAUAUAAAUAGAAGAUAUAAUCCUGAAUCUGAACAUCUGAACCAACAAAAUCCUAAAGGAUCGUUCUUGGAUAACAAGAAACAGAAGACAAAAGGAAAAGAAUGUACAGGUGAAGGUUUUCCGCCAUGAGAAGAGAAGCUUCGAUGGUAACUCCAUAUACUUUGAAAAAACUAUAGAUGAU